GCUCGGGUACCUGCUGCAUCCCCUGCGGGUCCGCUCGGGUACCUGCUGCAUCCCCUGCGGGUCCGCUCGAGUACCUGCUGCAUCCCCUGCGGAUCCGCUCGGGUACCUGCUGCAACCCCGGCACCUCCUCAGGUACCUCCUGCAUCCCCUGCGGACCCGCUCAGGUUUCUGCUUGCUCCUGGUCCAUGACUUCCCAUCUGGAUCCCACCAGAAUGUUCCAAUGACGUGGUUCCAGCCCCUGCCUUCCCAGAGGAGGUAAAGCACCAGCAGAGGCUGCCCAAAAAAGCAGCAGGAAUUCCUCCCUUGAAGAGUCUCAGAACAUGACAAGGCACUGAAUAACUUGCAUAACUUUGACCCCAGCCCUGCUGAGAGGAGAGGAGACCAAAGGCUCCACAGGGACUUUACAAUCUGAACUGUACCUAAGGUGGCAGUGGCAGGUUCCAAGGCUCUCUGGUCUUUUCAUACUUUAGUUCUCCCUCUUCAAGCAACAGCUCUGAUAGAAUUACACCAGAGACCAUUCUCAUGGGCACUGAACUGACACAAGGCACAAUCCCAUGGCUGCACACUCUGAAAGCCUCUAUUUCUGCAAGUCAGCUCAGGAGCUAACGUUGAAAACUGGGCUCACAGCAUUUGCCAUCAGUAGAAAAUUCAGUGGUGAGUACCUGCAC